UACGGGGGGGGCAAGCGUUGUUCGGAAUUACUGGGCGUAAAGGGCUCGUAGGCGGCCAACUAAGUCAGACGUGAAAUCCCUCGGCUUAACCGAGGAACUGCGUCUGAUACUGGAUGGCUUGAGUUUGGGAGAGGGAUGCGGAAUUCCAGGUGUAGCGGUGAAAUGCGUAGAUAUCUGGAGGAAUACCGGUGGCGAAGGCGGCAUCCUGGACCGAAACUGACGCUGAGGCGCGAAAGCUAGGGGAGCAAACGGG
rnacentral:rRNA from 1 species